GGAGAUUCCAUCUAAACCCCUGCUUUAGAUGCGGGCACUGCAGAGCCACUCCAAGUCAUUUGUUCCAAGACCAUGUGUUAAAAUAAGCCUAUUUGUUGAGUGGCAUGAGGUUAAAGUUAGUGUCUUAUUUAUGUUUGUGUCACUGGUACCCAACUAGCACAUAGCAUAUGGUAGGAGCACAGUGAACAUAGCAGGGAUAUACAUGCAGUGUUCGAGAUGCUGGCAGGGUGUGAACAGGGUACCAGAACGUGGGCUUUAUGUAGGAUUAGAGUUAGAAGCAUUAGCAGCUGAAAAAUGGCAGGAAAAUGAUGAAAUCUGCAUGAUGGAAAAAGGGGGUCAGAGAUCUAAAGUCUAGAUGAAUGCAGAAAACAGAGCACUCAGGAAUAAGCUUCUGCUCACCACUCCUGGAGAAGUGUGACAUACAUGCAAACUUCUGCACAUCUGGGACUGAAGAAGUAGAUCUUUCACCUUAAAAUUACCCACUGAUAUCCACUGGGAGAGAGAACUCUCUCUGAUUUGAUGCUCAGCAAGAGUGACUCUCAUCUCCAGGAUUGCUGGUGGGAGGUCAAGUCUUCCUCCCCAGGAUGCUGCACUUGGAUGGACUUGAAAGAGUUCUGUUUGUUCCAAGUUGCGAUCUCAUAUUCACUCUGGGCCAGACCAACUACACAACUCCUUAAUUCUUCAGUUGGCCGGGAGUGAGGUUCCAGGAUGCCACAGCCCUGGGCAAUGAAGACAACAAGUUCAUCUUGAAUAGAUGGAUCUGAUUCACCUGACCUUAGGAGGAAUACACUGAAUUAUUUUUCAUGCUAGAGCAUAUUCCCAGGGCGCUGGGGCAGAGACCACGUCCUAAACCCAACUCAAAUGUGGGCUGUGCUCUUGGCUGAAGAAAAGCAUGGAAAGCAGUUGGGGACCUGCAUCCCCAAGACUGUCAGCCCUUCUCCAGGGCUAGCAACAAGCAGAGUGUAGCAGUGAGAAGAUGCUCUUGGCAGGCUCCAGAUAGCUGUGCCCUCAGCCCAGGAGGACUCAGCCAAUGAAGACUCAGCUAAUGAAAGCUCAGCAUGGAGGUGGCAAAGGGCUGCAGCCCCACCAAACUCUUUGCCUCCAGGCGCUGUGGUGGUGAAGAACUGAAAUACACAAACCUUGGGGCUUCCCCUUGUCCCUGAAACUGCAGAAGAUGCUGGCUCGGGAGAGCCCAGGUGAGAAAGCUGCUGCAGGAGCCAGAAACUUUGGCAAAGACUCUUUCUUUGCAAGUAAGAAAGCUAGUUGGGAAAGAGGACCAACUGUUCCUUCUAAAUUCCCAGGGAGUGGAGGGUACGUGAGGCCCUGUGAUUCAUUGGCCAGGAGUAUCUGCUCCAGCUGCCAGGCCAGAGUGAUCAAUCCAAAAGUGCUUCUGAAAAUGAGGCCAGACCCACAUUAAUGAAGCCUGAUUGCCUCAGAAUUAUUGUCGGAUUAAUUAGCAGCUUUGCCAGUAGCCCAUGUGUUCAGGGUCAGUAACAAUUUAUGGUGAGUCACAUUUAAGUAAUUUCAUUCAAUUUAACCAGCAUUUGCUGCACCUACUAAGCACAGAGUUUUAGGCAAACCUAAUGUAAGAACAGGGUCUGAACUGGACUUCCAAUGCCAAGGAUUCUAGGCCUAGAUCUGCCGUAUACAAGUCAUUUACCAGUAGGAAAAAAAUCACUUUGUCUUUCUGGCCUCAGUUUCCCCAUUUGUAAAAAAAAAAAAAAAAAGGUGGGAUGGAAUUGACUCAAUAGUUGGUCAGUUUUCUCCAAUAUCAGUGAGGUAGGAGGUGGAGCUCUACUCCAGAGACAGGGCUUGGACACCAGAUCAGAUUGAGGAGUAGCUAAAAAUGGGCCAGGGUGAAAGCAGCUUUAAAUCAGACACACCCACCAGUGUGUCAUGUCAAUUUACUGUUGGCAUGGCAACACCUAGGAAUUACUGCCCUUUUCCAUGGCAAUGACCCAAUGACUCAAAAGUUAGUACCCUUUCCCUAGAAAUUUCUGCAUAAACUGCCUCUUAAUCUUCAUGCAAUUAAAAGUGGGUAUAAAUAUGACUGCAAAACUGUCCUGAGCUACUACUCUCUGCCUAUGAGGCAGCCCUGCUCUGCAGGAGCAGUCACGGAGCUAUAACACUGCCUCUUCAAUACAGCUGUUUUCUUCUACCUCUGGCUUGCCCUUGGAUUCCUUCCUGUGCAAAGCCAAGAACCCUCACAGGCUCCAUGUUGGGGCUUGCUUUUUGAGAGCCUGAAAUGUAAAAUUAGAUAAGACACAUACAUACAAAAGGAAAAUUCAUUAAUUCCAUGAAUGUGUUUAUCCACAAAUAUUUACUGAUCAGUUCCUACUAGGUUCCAGACACUAUACAAAAUAAUGUAAGAUAAGCUUACCUUCAAACACAUACAGUCUACUGGGGAAGACCAUGAACAAAUGCACAGUUGGAGCAUAGGCACAGAGCAGGGAGCUUUUGAAUUAGAGGGAGGGUAGCAAAGUUGUGCCAGAGGAAGUAACAUCGUACUGAGAAAUAAAAAAGAGAUGAAAGGCAUCUCAUCAAAGAGUAUAGAAUUUAAUAAGACAUAGAGUCAUGAUAAAAGUAUGUUGGGGGAAUGAAGGUGUAUUCUGUGAGAAUAAUAACGAAUGUGGCAGGAAAACUGCAUGAGAGCUAGGUUAUAGGAGAACAUUUUGUUUGGAAUUAAAUUCUGGAAGCCAAGUGAAUCUACUGAAGGAAUAUGACAUGACAUGGUCAGAUUUUGAUUCUACGGUAGUCUAGAAGCAGAGAGGAAGAUAAAUUGUUGAGGGAAGAUGUUAAAGACAAAGAAGCCCAUCAGGAGGCUUCUACAAUUAUCUAGACAAGGGAUGGUGCUGAUCUCACCUAAGACAGUAAAGCUAGAGAGAAUAAAGGUGAUACAAGCAAUGUUUCAAUAGCGGAUAUUGUAAUUCUUGGUGACUGAUUAAAUAUGGGAGAUCCAUAGUGUUG
rnacentral:lncRNA from 1 species